GCGGAAGUGGUGAAAUUGGUAUACACGCCAUCUUGAGGGGGUGGUGCCACGUCGGCGUGCGGGUUCAAGUCCCGCCUUCCGCACAA
rnacentral:tRNA from 1 species